rnacentral:rRNA from 7 species
CGUAGGUGAACCUGCGGAAG